rnacentral:piRNA from 1 species
UGAAACGGGCGGCAAAGCCCAUCUCCCC